CCUACGGGAGGCAGCAGUGGGGAAUAUCGGGCAAUGGGCGCAAGCCUGACCCAGCAACGCCGCGUGAAUGAAGAAGGCUUUCGGGUUGUAAACUUCUUUUAUCCGGGACGAAGCAAACGAUGGUACCUGAUGAAUAAGCCACGGCUAACUACGUGCCAGCCGCCGCGGUAAUACGUAGGUGGCAAGCGUUAUCCGUAGUUACUGGGGGGAAAGGGCGUGUAGGCGGGAGUGGAUGUAAGAUGUGAAACCUAUGGGCUCAACCCAUAGACUGCGUUUGAAACUGUACUUCUUGAGUGCUGGAGAGGCAAGCGGAAUACCGGGUGUAGCGGUGAAAUUCGUAGAUAUACGGAGGAACACCAGUGGCGAAGGCGGAUUGCUGGACAGUAACUGACGCUGAGGCGCGAAAGCGUGGGGAGCAAACAGGAUUAGAUACCCUAGUAGUC
rnacentral:rRNA from 1 species